AACUGACACCGGCAGCUCCGCCUCCUCCGCCCACGGAGCGUGCGCUAAGAGAAAAGUCCCGCCUCGACCCGGCCAACUGCCAGCCAAUCCUCACUCGGAAUGUACGCCUGCGCACUAGCCGACUGGCGCCCCAACCCUCCUCUCUCAAAACACCCGAUCUAUCUUUUGCCGUAACAGAAAGGACACUGUCAUCCAAUCAGGAUUGAGGUAUUUGUGGGCGGGGAAAGAGUGGGCGUGUCCUAGAAGAGCAAUAGCCAAUGAAGGUACGGAGGCGAAGUUCAGCGUGUGAAAGCCAGUCCAGGCGAGGCAGCUGUUUAGUCUCAGCCGGAGUUUGAAAAUUGGGACACAUCGUGGUGAAACUGCAGAACACCAAAAACCAAGAGAAACUAUUAAAAGCAACUCUUAAAACACGUGGUAUUGACACAAGGAUCAACAAACAGGAAACUGGGAAAGAAGGCGCCUGUUAUUGAAUUCAUUGGAGAAUGAGCACUGUCCUGAAUUUGGUGCACUAAAACAGCCCAGUACAUCAGAAAGUGUUGGUGGGAUGCCUAAGGGUCAAUAAGGAAGAGAACUACACUAGCUGGAGACUGAAGAAGAAGCAAUAGAAGUCACUGGUACGAUAGUAAAUAAUUGAUAUUUAUUGACUAAGUCAAGUAGUAUUUGCGGCUCUCUACUCCACACCCCGCCCCUUUCUUUUCUUGCUAGUUGAUCAUGUUUUGCAACCAUCAUAAAUAAGGACAA